UACGGGGGGGGUAAGCGUUGUUCGGAAUUACUGGGCGUAAAGAGCUCGUAGGCGGAUAUUUAAGUCAGGGGUGAAAUCCCGGGGCUCAACCCCGGAACUGCCUUUGAUACUGGGUAUCUCGAGUCCGAGAGAGGUGAGUGGAAUUCCGAGUGUAGAGGUGAAAUUCGUAGAUAUUCGGAGGAACACCAGUGGCGAAGGCGGCUCACUGGCUCGGUACUGACGCUGAGGUGCGAAAGCGUGGGGAGCAAACAGG
rnacentral:rRNA from 1 species